UCAUUAUCACUAAUGAGAAAUCAGAAUCAAAUAAAAUCAUAAUCAAAGCAACACAAAAUCUAAUAAAAUCACUAUCAUAUAUGACUAAUAAAAUCACUAAUAAAAUCAAAAUCGGAAUUAAAUCAACACAGUAUCAACACAAAAUCAAAUAAAAUCAUAAAGCACUAUAAUGCAAAUAGAAAAAAAAUCAAAUAAAGUAGAAAAACGAGGAAUUUGC
rnacentral:lncRNA from 1 species